CAGGAAAAAAAUUACUUGGAGAAAAUAUCUUCUGGGGAUGUAGAAGUGACAGGUGGAAGAGUUGGUAUGACAAACCAAGGAAAGAGUCUGAUUCUCAGACGGGAGGUUUCCAGUCUGACACUACUCCACUGAAAUUAUCAUGGUCACUGAGAGAAGUCUGUCUGUAUAUUCCAUCUGUCAGCGACCACUUCCACUUCCUCCGUGGGUUUGAGAGUGUUUCCUCUAGUGCUGUCCUCGAAGUACUGCUGAGGCCGUCCCAUCUCCAGCCAGCAACACCCUGGUUAACUUCCUGACCUCAUCAAAAUCAUCUUCCUCGCUAAAAAAAGAAUCCUAAAAACACA